UACGUAGGGUGCAAGCGUUGUCCGGAAUUAUUGGGCGUAAAGAGCUCGUGGGCGGUCUGUUGCGUCGGCUGUGAAAACCCGGGGCUCAACUCCGGGCCUGCAGCCGAUACGGGCAGACUAGAGUUCGGCAGGGGAGACUGGAAUUCCUGGUGUAGCGGUGAAAUGCGCAGAUAUCAGGAGGAACACCGGUGGCGAAGGCAGGUCUCUGGGCCGAUACUGACGCUGAGGAGCGAAAGCGUGGGGAGCGAACAGG
rnacentral:rRNA from 1 species